UACAGAGGUGGCAAGCGUUGUUCGGAAUUACUGGGCGUAAAGGGCGCGUAGGCGGCCUUCUAAGUCAGACGUGAAAUCCCCCGGCUUAACCUGGGAACUGCGUCUGAUACUGGAGGGCUUGAGUGCGGGAGAGGGAUGUGGAAUUCCAGGUGUAGCGGUGAAAUGCGUAGAUAUCUGGAGGAACACCGGUGGCGAAGGCGGCAUCCUGGACCGACACUGACGCUGAGGCGCGAAAGCUAGGGAGCAACGGG
rnacentral:rRNA from 1 species